rnacentral:misc_RNA from 1 species
AAGUCGUAACAAGGUUUCCGUAGGUGAACCUGCGGAAGGAUCAUUACCAAAUAUCCAAUUAAUAUUGGUUUUACACCAAUAAACAACUUGUGCACUUGUUAACUGUCUCUGGCAGUGUCGUUUAAUUACCUCGGUUCUGAAAGAGUAAGAAACAUUCGUUCUCUAGGGGAUGAAAAGUUUUGGUUCUCUGGAGGGUUAAAAACCUUGGGAAUGAAGCGCACUGCCAAAUUUAUAAACUUUACAUGUAUGUUGUUUUCGUCUGAUUUUUUUCUCAUCUAAAGAUGAUUAAUUAAAAGACAACUUUUGACAACGGAUCUCUUGGUUCUC